GCACAUAAUAAGUAAAGCAAAUUAUUGGAAUUAUAAUGCUUUUCAAAAUGAAAAUAAAAAUCACACAUUUGCAAAUAACAAUUAUAUUUAUCACAUCACUAUCACACAUUACGCGAUUUAUACAAUACAAAUAAUAUAAUGAAAAUUCAAAAUUAAUUAUUUAAUACAAUAUAAAUUUACUAUGAAAAAAGUCAUUGGAUUUGGAUCUGAGACGGUGGUUGUCGAGGUGAAGUGGGUUGUAGCAGUGGUUGCAGCAGCCCACGGAGCAAGCUGCAGCAGCUGAAGAGGUGAAGCGAAUUCGCGGGAUUGGUAUGUCGCAGUCUGUGUGUGCCUGUGUUCGCGUUGUUAAUUGGAUGCAUCGAUGACUCGGUGGCUCGGUGGUGUCAGCUGUGUGUGUGCCGCUGUGUCCUGUGUGAUUUGAGCUCUGAGAUAUGUGUUUGUGGUGUGAGGUUGUGAGGGUGUGAGGCUAUGAGCUCUACGUGUGUGGUUGUGAGCUAGCUAAUCGGUUUAGGAUUUUAGGUUUUAGCUUUUUCAAUUUAAUUUCUUUUAAUUGUGUCACUGUCCAACUUAUUAGAUUUCGGAUUCAAUCAUAUUUAAUCUAAUCUUCAUCCAUAUUUGAUCCGAACCUGAAUUUUUAGGACUAGAU
rnacentral:lncRNA from 1 species